rnacentral:rRNA from 1 species
GACGAGCGCUGGCGGCGUGCUUAACACAUGCAAGUCGAACGGAAAGGCCCUGCUUUUGUGGGGUGCUCGAGUGGCGAACGGGUGAGUAACACGUGAGUAACCUGCCCUUGACUUUGGGAUAACUUCAGGAAACUGGGGCUAAUACCGGAUAGGAGCUCCUGCUGCAUGGUGGGGGUUGGAAAGUUUCGGCGGUUGGGGAUGGACUCGCGGCUUAUCAGCUUGUUGGUGGGGUAGUGGCUUACCAAGGCUUUGACGGGUAGCCGGCCUGAGAGGGAGACCGGCCACAUUGGGACUGAGAUACGGCCCAGACUCCUACGGGAGGCAGCAGUGGGGAAUAUUGCACAAUGGGCGGAAGCCUGAUGCAGCAACGCCGCGUGCGGGAUGACGGCCUUCGGGUUGUAAACCGCUUUCGCCUGUGACGAAGCGUGAGUGACGGUAAUGGGUAAAGAAGCACCGGCUAACUACGUG